rnacentral:tRNA from 1 species
GAGGAUGUAGCUCAAUUGGUAGAGCAUUUGCCUAGAACUCAUGAGACCCUGGGUUCCAUUCCCAACAUCAUAU